UUCUUCUUCUUCUUCCUCAAUCAUGUUUUUCCACAUUGUAUUGGAGAGAAACAUGCAGCUUCAUCCUCGUCACUUUGGUCGUGAUCUUCGUGAAAAACUUGUGUCAAAACUGAUGAAAGAUGUAGAAGGAACUUGCAGUGGUCGACAUGGUUUUAUAGUGGCGAUUACUGGGAUUGAAAGUGUUGGAAAAGGAUUAAUUCGUGAUGGAACUGGUUUUGUUACUUUCCCAGUGAAGUAUCAAUGUGUUGUAUUUCGACCCUUUAAAGGUGAGAUUUUGGAAGCUGUUGUCACCAUGGUUAACAAGAUGGGAUUUUUUG
rnacentral:misc_RNA from 1 species